rnacentral:rRNA from 1 species
AACGAACGCUGGCGGCGCGCCUAAUACAUGCAAGUCGAGCGAGAAGGUGUAGCAAUACACUUGUAAAGCGGCGAACGGGUGAGGAAUGCAUGGGUAAUCUACCAUCGAGUGGGGAAUAACCAGCCGAAAGGCUGGCUAAUACCGCGUACGCUUCCGGGUUUUCGGGUCCGGAAGGAAAGCCAUGCCGUGGGUAUGGCGCUCUUUGAUGAGCUCAUGUCCUAUCAGCUUGUUGGUAGGGUAACGGCCUACCAAGGCUUUGACGGGUAGCUGGUCUGAGAGGACGAUCAGCCACACUGGCACUGCGACACGGGCCAGACUCCUACGGGAGGCAGCAGUAAGGAAUAUUGCGCAAUGGGCGACAGCCUGACGCAGCGACGCCGCGUGGGGGAUGAAGGUCUUCGGAUUGUAAACCCCCUUUCGGGAGGGAAGAUGGGGCAGGGUAACUGCUCGGACGGUACCUCCAGAAGCAGCCACGGCCAACUUCGUGCCAGCAGCCGCGGUAAU